ACUCCUACGGGAGGCAGCAGUGGGGAAUCUUGGACAAUGGGCGCAAGCCUGAUCCAGCCAUGCCGCGUGAGUGAUGAAGGCCUUAGGGUCGUAAAGCUCUUUCGCCAGGGAUGAUAAUGACAGUACCUGGUAAAGAAACCCCGGCUAACUCCGUGCCAGCAGCCGCGGUAAUACGGAGGGUGCAAGCGUUAUCCGGAUUCACUGGGUUUAAAGGGGUGCGUAGGCGGGUAUGUAAGUCAGUGGUGAAAUCUCGGAGCUUAACUCCGAAACUGCCAUUGAUACUAUAUAUCUUGAAUAUUGUGGAGGUUUGCGGAAUAUGUCAUGUAGCGGUGAAAUGCUUAGAUAUGACAUAGAACACCUAUUGCGAAGGCAGCAGGCUACACAUAUAUUGACGCUGAGGCACGAAAGCGUGGGGAUCAAACAGGAUUAGAUACCCUGGUAGGAUAGCG
rnacentral:rRNA from 1 species